rnacentral:rRNA from 1 species
UACAGAGGGGGCAAGCGUUGUUCGGAAUUACUGGGCGUAAAGGGCGCGUAGGCGGCCUUCUAAGUCGAACGUGAAAUCCCCGGGCUCAACCCGGGAACUGCGUCCGAUACUGGAAGGCUUGAAUCCGGGAGGGGGAUGUGGAAUUCCAGGUGUAGCGGUGAAAUGCGUAGAUAUCUGGAGGAACACCGGUGGCGAAGGCGACAUCCUGGACCGGUAUUGACGCUGAGGCGCGAAAGCCAGGGGAGCAAACGGG